UAAAUUAUACGAACGACUUAAUUUUAAAUAAGCACCAUCCAACUGCAUUUAGUAAAGCCGAAUCAUUUUUAAAUAAUCUUAAUAACUGGAGUUUUACGGGCUUUGAGGAAAGCGUCAGAAUUACGCACUCGUUUGUAUUGAGUUUUGCUGGGUUUUCUCGAUUUCUAUCCUCUGAGAAGGUACUGGAACUCGCUUACUUGGAAGCUGAAUUUCAAAGAUCGGCGUGGGGAAGAUUCGAAGAUGAAGAUGGCCUUAAAAUGCUGGCCAAACAAACGGCUUUAUCUUCUUCUUUAU